rnacentral:rRNA from 1 species
AUUGAACGCUGGCGGCAGGCCUAACACAUGCAAGUCGAACGGUAGCACAGAGAGCUUGCUCUCGGGUGACGAGUGGCGGACGGGUGAGUAAUGUCUGGGAAACUGCCCGAUGGAGGGGGAUAACUACUGGAAACGGUAGCUAAUACCGCAUAACGUCGCAAGACCAAAGUGGGGGACCUUCGGGCCUCACACCAUCGGAUGUGCCCAGAUGGGAUUAGCUAGUAGGUGGGGUAAUGGCUCACCUAGGCGACGAUCCCUAGCUGGUCUGAGCGGAUGACCAGCCACACUGGAACUGAGACACGGUCCAGACUCCUACGGGAGGCAGCAGUGGGGAAUAUUGCACAAUGGGCGAAAGCCUGAUGCAGCCAUGCCGCGUGUAUGAAGAAGGCCUUCGGGUUGUAAAGUACUUUCAGCGGGGAGGAAGGCGGUGAAGUUAAUAACUUCACCGAUUGACGUUACCCGCAGAAGAAGCACCGGCUAACUCCGUGCCAGCAGCCGCCGUAA